ACGGGGGGGACGAGCGUUGUUCGGAUUUACUGGGCGUAAAGGGCGCGUAGGCGGGUCUUCAAGUCGGAUGUGAAACCUAUCAGCUUAACUGGUAGCCUGCAUUUGAUACUGUUGAUCUUGAGUACGGGAGAGGAGAGUGGAAUUCCAGGUGUAGCGGUGAAAUGCGUAGAUAUCUGGAAGAACACCAGUAGCGAAGGCGGCUCUCUGGACCGAUACUGACGCUCAAGCGCGAAGGCUUGGGGAGCAAACAGGAUUAGAUACCCUGGUAGUCCAAGCGGUAAACUAUGGGUACUAGAUGUCGGGGGUAUCGACCCCCUCGGUGUCGCAGCUAACGCAGUAAGUACCCCGCCUGGGGAGUACGAUCGCAAGAUUG
rnacentral:rRNA from 1 species